GGAAGAUAAGGUGCCUCCCUUCUCAGUGACUGCUGCAAAACUGAAACCCUAUCAUUUUUAUCCACAGCAUCAACUUGGAUGAUAAGCAUUUAGAGGAGAAAGGCACUAAUGAGUGACUGAGGGAAAAUCAAAACAUUUCCAUCUGAAACCAAGCAGAGCAGCUGGCCACACCAGUCCUGGACUAUCCAAGAAGCCCCAAGCCUUGGCAUUGAUCCAGGACUGUCAAUGCAGUCCAUUGAUCCAGGACUGUCAACACUCAGCGAGCAUCUCGGCCACCCCUGGCACUGCUCCCCAU
rnacentral:lncRNA from 1 species